rnacentral:snoRNA from 1 species
AAGCCUAUACUUUCAGGGAUCAUUUCUAUAGUUCGUUACUAGAUGACUGUUGCCAUCAGUGCUCUACGCCAGCCCAACUGUAGUGAUCAUUGUUGUAAACUGUUGCAGA